ensembl:lncRNA
GGUUCUGGUGAUCCAGACAUGGACCUCCUUGGCCGGGGCAUACUUAUUAAUAUUUUGCCAACUGCCAGAUCACCAGAACCUGUGAACAUGUCAAAAGGGAAUUAAUGAUGCAAUGAAGUUUGCUAAUCUGAUGAACUUCAGAUGAGGAAAAUACUGGAUAAUCCAGAUGAAACCAAUGUAUCGCACAAGUCCUUAAAAAGGAGAACCUUUCUCAGCUGUGGUGAGAGGAGGAGCUGACAGUGAAAGAAAGGUCAGAAAGAUGCCAUGUUGCUGAGGAAAGGCCACUGCAGAAGAAAUGCAUGUGACUUGCAGAAGAAAUGCAUGUGACUUGCAGAAGAAAUGCAUGUGACUUCUAGAAGCUGGAAAAAGGGAGGAAUGGACUUUCCCAUGAAGCCUGCAAGGACCUGUGACUUCCGACCUACAGAACAGAAUAAAAUGACCCUUUCCACUACUUCCAUAUGUUCAUGUUUCAAAACGAAAACAUUUUCUGCAAAGCAGACUCUUACUCCCUAAGAAACCAAGGUGGCGCUAGUGGUAAACAAACCACCUGCUAAUGCAGGAGACGUGAGACAUGGGUUCUGUCCCUUGGUUGGGAAGAUCCCCUGGAGGAGGAAAUGGCAACCCACUCCAGUUUUCUUGCCUGGAGAAUCCCGUGGACAGAGGAGCCUGGCAGGCUACAAACCAUGGGGUUGCAAAGAGUUGGACACGACUGAAGCGACUUAACACACAUAGUAAGUGUACGUAUUUAAGGUGUGUUUUGAUAUAUAGAUAUACCUAUGAAGCUAUCACUAAAAAGGAAAUAUAAUGAACUUAUUCAAACUCCCCAAAUGCCCCUGUGGUGCUUAUUAAUCUCAGCUUCAUGUCCCUCCCACCCUUCUCACUGCUUGAACCUCAAGCAACCCUUCUACUGCUUACUGCUUUCUAUUACUUUAAGUUAGUUUUCACACUUUAGAAUUUUACAUAGGUGGAAGGAAUCAUUCAGUAUGUACUAUUUGAGGGAGUCUGAAUUCUUAAUAUAAUAUGAUUGAUAUAAUAGCUAUUAUAUAUUGUUAGUAUACAAAAUAAUUUUGCGGUUCACUCAUGUUGCAUGUUUCAAAAUGUAUUCACUUUUUUUUUUUUAACUUCAUUGUAUGGAUAUACCAUUGUAUGGAUAUACCAUAAUUAGAUGAUUAUUCAACUGUUACUAUUUGGAUUGUUUCCAGCUAUUAUAAAUCUGCUAUGAACAUUGAACAUAUGCUUUCAUUAAUCUUGAGUAAAUACCUAGGUAUGGAAUGGCUGAGUCUGUUGGCAAGUAUGUGUUUAAUAUUUUAAUAAAUGAUACAUUAUUUUCCAAAGUGAUUUUGCCAUGUUACACUCCCACUAGUAGUAUAACAGAGUUCCAGUUCCUCCAAAUUCACCAACGCUAAAUAGGGUCAGUCUUUUUCAAAUUUUGGCCAUUCUGUUAGAAGGGUAGCAAUAUGUCAUUAUACUUUUAAUUUGCAUUUCCCUAGAGAUUAAUGAUAUUGAACAUCUUGCCAUGUGCUUAUUGGCUAUCCAUAUAUGUUCCUGAAGAAGUAUUACUUCAGAUGUUUUGGCCAUAUUUUAUUUUUAUUAUCUAAUUUUAAGUGUUUUUUUUUUAAUUAGAUAUAAGCUCUUUAUCAGAAGAUGAUUUGCUAGAUUUCUGCCCCAACAUGUGGCUUGUCUUUUCAUUUUGUUAAUAGUCUUUCAAAGAACAGGAGUGUUAAAUUUUGAUUCCAAUCUAUAAUUUUGUCCUUUCAUGCAUCACGCUUUUGAAAUUAUCCCUAAUCCAAUCUUUUCCUAAUCCAGGGUCACAAAUAUAUUUUUGCUGAUUAUAGAAAUCCAAGUGGAUAAGUUUUUUGUACUGUCAGCACUUUAAAGCAUGACUUUUUCACCUCAAUUUUCUGGAUGAUUUUAAGGUUUUCUCUUUACUAUUGAUUUUAGGCAAUUUGGUUAUGAUGUGUCUUAGUAUAGUUUUUCUUAUGUUUCUGGGUCUUGAGCUUUUUAGAUCUAGGGGCUUAUAGUUUUUAUUGUAUUUAGAAAGAUUAUACCUAUGAAAUCUUUAAACUGUUUUCUGCCUCUACCUCAUCUAUUCCUCUCCUUCAGGGCUUCCAAAUAUAUCUUCAUUAGCCUGCUUCAGUUUUAGCAUUUUAUUAAUUCUUAUCUGUAUAUAACUUUUCAAUAUGGAAUGAGAAAAAUACUACUGUUACAUGCAUAUGUAUCAUGCGUAUGUUACAUGUAACAUGUGUAUGUUACAUGUAACAUGCAUGUGUUACAUGCUUGAAAUUGUUUGCAACUCACUGGUGAUAUGUUUUUUCUUUUUAAAAUCUUUUUUGUUUCCCUGUGUGUCUUUCAUUUGGUUUAUUUCUAUUGCUAUGCAUUCAAGUUCACUACUUUUCUACUGCAAUAUCUCAUUUCCCAUUUAUCCCACAAAGUAUUCUUUAAUCCUACCUAUUAUAGUUUUCAUCUCUAGAAGUCUGACUUGUGUUUUAAAAUAUUCCACUUUUCUACUUAACUUUUUAAACACAUAGAGAGCUAUAAUAACUACUCUAAGCAUUUGUUUGUUAAUUCUACCAACUUUUUAGAUCUGAGUUGAUUUUAAUUGCUUUUUUUUAAAUUUUAUUGUCAGUCAUUGUGUCCUCCUUCUUUGCAUAUCUUGCAAUUUUUAUUUCAUGCCAGAGAUGGUGACUAUUGCCUGUGAGUGCUGGAUAGUUGCCUAUUCAUGUAAAUAUUUUGAACUUUGUUUUGGGACUCAGUUAAAUUUCUUGGAAAGAAUAUGACCCUUUUGAAUCUUGCUUUUAAAUUUUGUUAGGUGAGACAGGGCUGUCUCAUUCUAGGAGAAAUUUGUUCAGAUC